UACAGGGGGUGCAAACGUUGCUCGGAAUCAUUGGGCGUAAAGCGCACGUAGGCGGUCUGUUAUGUCGGAUGUGAAAGCCCUUGGCUCAACUGAGGAAGUGCAUCCGAAACUGGCAGGCUAGAGUACUAAAGAGGGUCGCGGAAUUCCCGGUGUAGAGGUGAAAUGCGUAGAUAUCGAGAGGAACACCUGCGGCGAAGGCGGGUUGCUGGGCUGACACUGACGCUGAGGCGCGAAAGCUAGGGGAGCGAACGGG
rnacentral:rRNA from 1 species